rnacentral:rRNA from 1 species
AUAUCAAUAAGCGGAGGAAAAGAAAAUAACAAUGAUUUCCCUAGUAACGGCGAGUGAAGAGGAAAGAGCUCAAAGUUGGAACCUGUUUGGCUUAGCUAAACCGGAUUGUAAACUGUAGAAGUGUUUUCCAGACACGCCUGGUAAAAAAGUCCUUUGGAACAGGGCAUCAUAGAGGGUGAGAAUCCCGUCUUUGGCCAGAGCUGUUGUCUUUUGUGAUACAUUUUCAAAGAGUCAGGUUGUUUGGGAAUGCAGCCUAAAUUGGGUGGUAAAUCUCACCUAAAGCUAAAUAUUUGCGAGAGACCGAUAGCGCACAAGUA